GACGAACGCUGGCGGCGUGCUUAACACAUGCAAGUCGAGCGGUAAGGCCCUUUCGGGGGUACACGAGCGGCGAACGGGUGAGUAACACGUGAGUAAUCUGCCCUUCACUUCGGGAUAACCGCCGGAAACGGCGGCUAAUACCGGAUACGACGCGCUUUUGCAUGAGAUGCGCGUGGAAAGUUUUUUCGGUGGUGGAUGUGCUCGCGGCCUAUCAGCUUGUUGGUGAGGUAAUGGCUCACCAAGGCUUCGACGGGUAGCCGGCCUGAGAGGGUGACCGGCCACACUGGGACUGAGACACGGCCCAGACUCCUACGGGAGGCAGCAGUGGGGAAUAUUGGACAAUGGGCGAAAGCCUGAUCCAGCAACGCCGCGUGAGGGAUGACGGCCUUCGGGUUGUAAACCUCUUUCAGCACCGACGAAGCGCCUUUAACGGUGGUGACGGUAGGUGCAGAAGAAGGACCGGCCAACUACGUGCCAGCAGCCGCCGUAACAC
rnacentral:rRNA from 1 species